rnacentral:lncRNA from 1 species
GGAAGACAGGAGUCAUAGGAAGACAGGUGCUCUGGGUACAGGUGCUGGGGAAGAGAGUCAGGAAGACAGGAGUAUAGGAAGCAGGGCUAAGACAGGAGUCAUAGGAAACAGGUGUCAUAGGAAGACAGGUGUCAUAGGAGACAGGUGUCAUAGGAAGACAGGAGUCAUAGGAAGACAGGUGUGCGCUGGGUACAGGUGCUAUAGGAAGACAGGUGUGCUCUGGGUACAGGUGCUAUAG